GUAGGUGGCAAGCGUUGUCCGGAAUUAUUGGGCGUAAAGCGCGCGCAGGCGGUCCUUUAGGUCUGAUGUGAAAGCCCACGGCUCAACCGUGGAGGGUCAUUGGAAACUGGGGGACUUGAGUACAGAAGAGGAAAGCGGAAUUCCAAGUGUAGCGGUGAAAUGCGUAGAGAUUUGGAGGAACACCAGUGGCGAAGGCGGCUUUCUGGUCUGUAACUGACGCUGAGGCGCGAAAGCGUGGGGAGCAAACAGGAUUAGAUACCCUGGUAGUCCACGCCGUAAACGAUGAGUGCUAAGUGUUAGGGGGUUUCCCGCCCCCUUAGUGCUGCAGCUAACGCAUUAAGCACUCCGCCUGGGGGAGUACGGCCCGCAAGGCUG
rnacentral:rRNA from 1 species